GAUGAACGCUGGCGGCGUGCCUAAUACAUGCAAGUCGAGCGAACAGACGAGGAGCUUGCUCCUUCGACGUUAGCGGCGGACGGGUGAGUAACACGUAGGUAACCUACCUAUAAGACUGGGAUAACUUCGGGAAACCGGAGCUAAUACCGGAUAAUAUUUCGAACCGCAUGGUUCGAUAGUGAAAGAUGGCUUUGCUAUCACUUAUAGAUGGACCUGCGCCGUAUUAGCUAGUUGGUAAGGUAACGGCUUACCAAGGCAACGAUACGUAGCCGACCUGAGAGGGUGAUCGGCCACACUGGAACUGGGACACGGUCCAGGCUCCUACGGGAGGCAGCAGUAGGGAAUCUUCCGCAAUGGGCGAAAGCCUGACGGAGCAACGCCGCGUGAGUGAUGAAGGUCUUCGGAUCGUAAAACUCUGUUAUUAGGGAAGAACAAACGUGUAAGUAACUGUGCACGUCUUGACGGUACCUAAUCAGAAAGCCACGGCUAACUACGUG
rnacentral:rRNA from 1 species